rnacentral:rRNA from 1 species
GACGAACGCUGGCGGCGUGCUUAACACAUGCAAGUCGAACGGAAAGGCCCUGCUUUUGUGGGGUGCUCGAGUGGCGAACGGGUGAGUUACACGUGAGUAACCUGUACUUGACUUUGGGAUAAGCUCAUGACACUGGGGCUCAUACCGGAUAGGAGCUCCUGCUGCUUGGUGGGGGUUGGAUAGUUUCGGCGGUUGGGGAUGGACUCGCGGCUUAUCGGCUUGUUGGUUGGGUAGUGGCUGACCAAGGCUUUGACGGGUAGCCGGCCUGGGAGGGUGACCGGCCACAUUGCGACGGAGAUGCGGCACAGACCAGCAUGGGAGGCAGAGGUGGAGUAUAUAGCACUAGGGGCGGAAGGCAGAUGCAGCAACGCCGCGCGGGGGGAGUCGGCCUUGGGGUAGUAAUCCGCAGUCGCCUGUCACGAAGCGAGAGUGACGGUAACGGGUAAAGAAGCACCGGCUAACUACGUG